AAGAAAUAUUCAAAUCUAACUGCCAGGAAUUUCUCACACUUGUUUUGCUUUUUGCAAUAUAUACUUUGCAGUAAUAUGUAUUUUAGUAAACUAUGCCAUCAAAAAUACAAAUGUUAUUGAUUUCAGUUUCUUUUUUUUUGUACAGGGGAAUUCUACCAGAAGCCACCUUUGUCCUUCUGGCCACUAUUGCCCCUCUGGCACUGGCUAUCCACUCCCCUGCCCCACUGGCUCUCUCUCCAUCUCCGGAGGACUGAAAGGAGUUGAUGGAUGCCCACCCUGCCCCCCUGGACUGUUUUGUGACAGGCCUGCAAUAGCAGAGCUGUCACAUGCUCUCCCAUGUCAUGCUGGGUAUGUGUGCCUGGGUGGCAGCUCCAGCCCCACACCAUCUGAUGGUUCACAUGGCUACCUCUGCCCCGCUGGCCAUAGCUGUCCUGUUGGCUCAGUAAGCGAGGUGCCCUGUGAGCCUGGCACUUACAAUCCUGCCCCCGGAGCAGCCCGCUGUAUAAUAUGCCCCAAUGGGACCAUGUGUUCCUCCUCAGCCACUCAAGAGGCCUCUAUCUGCCCAACCGGUGAGGAUGAUGAAAAUAAACUUUGAAUCUAGAGUGUGAAUCAGAUCACUUAUACUUUGGACAUACAGCAGCAAUACUGUGGUCAAAUUUCUAAAUCUGAAGAAAUGAUGAACCAAUAUUUAAUAAGUCCUCUCUUCCUAGGUCAUUUUUGUCCUGCGGGGACAGCCCUGCCUCAGCUCUGCCCUUUGGGGACUUUUAGCAACCAGACAGGAGCCCUUUCUCUCUCUGUCUGCACACCCUGUCCCUCUGGAGUGUACUGUGGCUCACAUGGAGCCUCAACACCAGAAGGUGACCAGACACAAAGAUAUUUGGUGACACAUUAAUAAAAUGUACACACCCUUUAGACUAACAUUGAUUGUGUCCUUAUAUAUAUAUAUUUUUUUUUGUAUAGGUGCUUGUUUGCAGGGUUAUUUCUGCCAAGGUGGAGCCACGGAGCCAACACCCCAGAGCUCUGACAACUUCCCCAUGAAUGGCCCUUGCCCGGUGGGCCACUACUGUCCAGCAGGGUGCCUCUCCUCAAUUCCAUGUCCUCUUGGCAGUAUUCGCAACACCAUCGGUACUGUUUACACUCAUCACAAAAUGGCUAUUUUCCCUGUUAGUCACACCAUUGUGUGAUCAGAUGAAUUAUUUUAUAUCCAUAUCAUCUCUUUAAUUAGGAGCUUGUAUUUGCAUUUCAAAGAGGUCCUAAUGGGAUCUGUUGUUAGCUGCUUGUCUGAUCUGCAUCACCGUUGUCAUAGGAGGGGUGUCCAUGGAGAGCUGCUCUGCCUGUCCUGCUGGUCACUACUGCUCCAUUGAGGGUCUGGCUAACCCCAGUGGCCCCUGUGCUGCUGGUUUCUACUGCCCUUUUGACUUCUCUUCAGCCACUCCAUAUGCCUUCCUCUGUCCCAAGGUAAGGGUUAUUCAUAUACUACAUAUACUAUUAAAAUAUUAUUC
rnacentral:lncRNA from 1 species